CCUACGGGUGGCUGCAGUGAGGAAUAUUGGUCAAUGGGCGCGAGCCUGAACCAGCCAAGCAGCGUGAAGGAUGACUGUCCUACGGGUUGUAACCUUCUUUUAUAAAGGAAUAAAGUGAGGCACGUGAGCCUUUCUGAAUGUACUUUACGAAUAAGGCUCGGCUAACUCCGGGCCAGCAGCCGCGGUAAUACGGAGGAUCCGAGCGUUAUCCGGGUUUAUUGGGGUUAAAGGGGACGUAGUGGGGUAUUUAAGUAAGAUGGGAAAGUUGACGGCUCAACCGUAGAAGUGCAAUUGAUACUGGCAGUAUGGAGGACGGUAGAGGUAGGCGGAAUUCGUGGUGUAGCGGUGAAAUGCUUAGAGAUCACGAAGAACUCCGAUUGCGAAGGCAGCUUACUAAA
rnacentral:rRNA from 1 species